rnacentral:tRNA from 1 species
CCUGGUGGCUUAGACGGUAAAGCAUCUGCUUGCAGUGCGGGAGACCUGGGUUUGAUCCCUGGGCCAGGA